UAGCUCAGUCAGUUAGAGCAGGGUGCUAAUAACGCAGAGGUCAUGGGUUCGAUUCCCAU
rnacentral:tRNA from 1 species